GACGAACGCUGGCGGCGUGCUUAACACAUGCAAGUCGAACGGAAAGACCCUGCUUUUGUUGGUUUCUCGUGUGGCGAGGGGGGGAGUAACACGUGAGUAACCUCCCCUUGACUUUGGGAUAACUUCAGGAGACUGGGGCGAAUACCCGAGAGGAGCUCCUGCUGCAUGUGGUGGGUUGGAGAAUGUCGGCUGUUGGGGAUGGACUCGCAGCUUAUCAGCUUGUUGGUGGGGUAGGGGCGGACCAAGGCUUUGACGGGUAGCCUGCCUGAGAGGGUGACCGGCGACCAUGGGACUGAGAUACGGCCCAGAAUCCUACGGGCGGCAGCAGUGGGGAAUAUUGCACAACGGGCGGGAGUCUGAUGCAGCAACGUCGCGUGCGGGAUGCCCGCUUUCGAGUUGUAAACAGCUUUCGAAUGUGACGAACACUGAGUGACGGUACCGGGUCAAGAAGCCCCGGCUAACUACGUG
rnacentral:rRNA from 1 species